GUCAAUACUUUGAUAUUCAACUCUUUUGUCUUUUGCCAGGUCUUUAAUGAAAUAAAUAGCCGCGACAUAGAGAAGAUAAAUGUAUUCCGAGGCAUGUUCGACAGUUGGAUAUUCCUAGUUGUUAUUGUUUCAACAGUGACAUUCCAAAUAAUCAUAGUGGAGUUCUUGGGAACUUUCGCAAGCACUGUGCCACUAAGCUGGCAACUGUGGCUUCUGAGCGUCUUAAUCGGAGCAGUUAGCAUGCCUGUUGCAGUUGUUCUGAAGUGCAUACCUGUCCAAAGAGCAACCGCAAAGCACCAUGAUGGUUACUAUGCUCUCCCUGCCGGCCCGGAACUAGCUUGAAAGGCAGGAAUAAUAAGGUUGGUCUUUCAUAAACCUAGAAGUUGACAGGUUGAAAGUUUUGUAACGAUGGAAAUUGCCUCAUCGCAUGCCAAGAAAUUAAGAGAGUUGUUUUCCAACUUUUCUUCAAGCUCAGAAUGCCGACUCCUUGUACACCAAGACACCUAUUAUUAUUAUUUUCAUAAUAAUAAUAAUAAUAAUAAU
rnacentral:misc_RNA from 1 species